rnacentral:rRNA from 1 species
UAGGGAAUCUUCGGCAAUGGGGGGAACCCUGACCGAGCAACGCCGCGUGAGUGAAGAAGGUUUUCGGAUCGUAAAGCUCUGUUGUUAAGGAAGAACGAGUGUGAGAAUGGAAAGUUCAUGCUGUGACGGUACUUAACCAGAAAGGGACGGCUAACUACGUGCCAGCAGCCGCGGUAAUACGUAGGUCCCGAGCGUUGUCCGGAUUUAUUGGGCGUAAAGCGAGCGCAGGCGGUUAGAAAAGUCUGAAGUGAAAGGCAGUGGCUCAACCAUUGUAGGCUUUGGAAACUGUUUAACUUGAGUGCAGAAGGGGAGAGUGGAAUUCCAUGUGUAGCGGUGAAAUGCGUAGAUAUAUGGAGGAACACCGGUGGCGAAGGCGGGUCUCUGGGCUGUUACUGACGCUGAGGAGCGAAAGCGUGGGGAGCGAACAGG